GACGAACGCUGGAGGCGUGCCUAAUACAUGCAAGUCGAAAGCAGUGGGGACGGGUGAGUAACACGUGGGUAACCUCCCAUCAGAGGGGAUAACACUUGGAAACAGGUGCUAAACCGAUACUGAUGGAUGGACCCGCGGUGCAUUAGCUAGUUGGUGAGGUAACGGCUCACCAAGGACACGAUGCAUAGCCGACUUGAUAGGGUGAUCUGUCCAACUGUGACUGAGACACGGCCCAUACUCCUACGUGAGGCAGCAGUAGGGAAUCUUCGGCAAUGGACGAAAGUCUGACCGACCACCGCCGCGGGAGUGAAGAAGGUUUUCGGAUCGUAAAACUCUGUUGUUAGAGAAGCGGUAUCUAACCAGAAAGCCACGGCUAACUCCGUGCCAGCAGCCGCGGUAAUAG
rnacentral:rRNA from 1 species